rnacentral:rRNA from 1 species
AAAGGGCCGCGGUAUUUUGNCCGUGNGAAGGUAGCAUAAUCAUUAGUCUUUUAAUUGAAGGCUGGUAUGAAUGGUUGGACGAGAAAUUAACUGUCUCUUUAUGAUAAGAUUGAAUUUAACUUUUGAGUGAAAAGGCUUAAAUGAUUCAAAAAGACGAUAAGACCCUAUAAAUCUUUAUAUUAUUCUGAAGUUUAAGAUAUAAGUGUUAGUAAAAUUUUUUUAAAUUUUAGAAAAUAUUUCAUUGGGGCGGUGUAAAUAAAAUAAAUAUCUGUUUAAUUGUAUAACCAAAAUAUAAUUGUGUAAAAACUGUAAAGAUCCUUAGUUAAAGAUUUUAAGAUAAAGUUACUUUAGGGAUAACAGCGUUAUUUUACUUAAGAGUUCUUAUCGAAAGUAAAGUUUGCGACCUCGAUGUUGAAUUAAAAUUUCUUUAUGGUGCAGCAGCUGUAAAAGAAAGUCUGUUCGACUUUUAAAAUUUUACAUGAUUUGAGUUCAAACCGGA